rnacentral:snoRNA from 1 species
AACCCAUGAUGAUGACACUUUCUCAAAAGAUCCUUAAAUCUCUCCUAUGCAUCAUAUUAAGCUCAAAUUGAGCAAAAGAAGAGAUGACAUUCCUUAACAU